rnacentral:lncRNA from 1 species
CAAACAUUUAUUCCCUCACAGUUCUGGAGGCCAACAGUCCAAACUCAAGGUGUUGGCAGGGAUGGUUCCUCCUGCAGGCUGUGAGGGAGGAUCCGUUCCAUGCCAGCUCGGUGUUGCCAGCAACCCUUGGUGUUCCUUAGCUUGCAGCUGCAUCAUUUCAGUGUGUGCCUCUCUUCACAUGGGGUCCCUCCUGUGUCUACGUCCAGAUUUCCCUCUUCUUAUGAAUAUACCAGUCACGUUGGAUCAAGGCCCACCCUAAUAGCCUCACCUUAGUGAGGUUACAACUGCAAAGAUUAUACUUCCAAAUAAGGUUACACUCACUGUCCAAGGAGUUAUGACUUCAACAUAGCUUUGUGAGGGACACAAUUCCACCCAUGACAGCAACCCUGAAGGGACUGCAGUCCCUCUCCAUCCAUGACAACAUCCAACUAGAAAUGGGUUGGCCAUCUAUUAGGCGUACCAGAGACUAUUCCUGCUCUAGCCAAGAAUUUGGGCCAGAUGACUACUAAGAUCCUUUGCAGUAUCCAGAUUCUAAGAUUCUGUUUUCCUGGGAAGGUGUAAACUGCUUUAUCUUCAGGUUAGCUCUUAACUCAUGAGCUGGGACAAUGCUCUUUCCCCUAAGAAAGGCGACUUUCCACCAAGAACACCAUUGUGUAGAGGCACCUACUGUGCCAGGCACUGUUGGAGGCACUGGGGAUGAAUCAGCAAGCAAGACAGAAGGUCCCUGCACUCACAUAACUUACUGCUCAGGAAUCGCCACUGGACUCAGCCUGCACAGCACAGCAAGACCCUGGCUCUUAAGAAAAAAAAAGAAUGAUGGGGAUGCAUCCCAGGACAAACAGCAGUUUUGGAGGGGGUCACUGAUUGUACCAAGGGUCCCCAAGGCCACCUGCAUACAAUCCCACUCACAGACCUGAGAUCCUGGCAGCAGAACACUGUGAUCUGUUCUCCUGGUGCCCGGCACAGUACCCAGCCCUUUCAUGGGCACAUGUGAUGAACACAGAAGGGGAUAUCUAGUGCCAUCUGAGACCUGCACUCAAUGUGUGAUUCUUAUCUUCUCUCAAAAAGACAGUACUCUCAUCCAGGAGACAGAAAGGGGAAGACAACUUCUUGAGAAAAAAUGAGAAACAAUUUCUUGGGGCCUCAUUUUCCUUGGCUGACAUGUGUCAGUUUCACCCUCAGGAAAGUAACAGGAAAUUAAGGAGACAAUGGGGUAGCUCCCAAAUGUGGCAGAAUCUCUAUUUACACAAUGGAAGCCUCACAUCUUUACCUUGUAUUUUUAAACUGCCUGAUGCAAAUGUCAGGGGUGCUGCCACCCUCCUGGCAAACUCAUCCUAUUCAUCGCCAUCACACCUGUCUGGUGUAAUCCCACUAUCUCUGCAGGUCCCCGCCGCCAUCAGCCCUGCUGGAACACAUGCUAUGACUGCCACGGCCUUGCCUCAUCCUUAUGUAUGUGUCACAUACAAGAGUAGUGUUUGGUUCAUGCCUGACAAGCAGUCAACACUGGCUUAACCUAGAAGUCAGAUGUUCAGCUGCCCCUUCCCCAACUUUAAUUAAAUCUUACCUUCAAGACCCAAUUGAAUUCUUCCUCCUCCAGGAAGCCUGCCAGUCCACCCAGCCCAUGGAGUUCUCUCUCUCUCUGCUGUCAGUGUCCAUGGUACAAGCAAUCUAUAUUUCAGGUCACAAACUCACAAAUUCAGUGAGCGCUGUGCAUUCUUCGGUCUUUUUUUUUCAUGUAGUGCCUCAGUGUGAGGGUGGGGAUGGUGGGUGACAGGCAACCCGAGUGUCCAUGCUGCCGCACGCUCCAUUACUUCCUAGCAUCUCGCACUGAGCCUGAGGUACACUUAUAGCACCUGUGUAGCCCCCGUGGGCAUUGGGGCAUGAGGCCCUGAUGCAAA